GACGAACGCUGGCGGCGUGCUUAACACAUGCAAGUCGAACGGAAAGGCCCUGCUUUUGUGGGGUGCUCGAGUGGCGAACGGGUGAGUAACACGUGAGUAACCUGCCCUUGACUUUGGGAUAACUUCAGGAAACUGGGGCUAAUACCGGAUAGGAGCUCCUGCUGCAUGGUGGGGGUUGGAAAGUUUCGGCGGUUGGGGAUGGACUCGCGGCUUAUCAGCUUGUUGGUGGGGUAGUGGCUUACCAAGGCUUUGACGGGUAGCCGGCCUGAGAGGGUGACCGGCCACAUUGGGACUGAGAUACGGCCCAGACUCCUACGGGAGGCAGCAGUGGGGAAUAUUGCGCAAUGGGCGGAAGCCUGAUGCAGCAACGCCGCGUGCGGGAUGACGGCCUUCGGGUUGUAAACCGAUUUCGCCUGUGACGAAGCGUGAGUGACGGUAAUGGGUAAAGAAGCACCGGCUAACUACGUG
rnacentral:rRNA from 1 species